AGAGUUUGAUCCUGGCUCAGGGUGAACGCUGGCGGCGUGGAUAAGGCAUGCAAGUCGAGCGGGUUUAGACCCGCGGCAGACGAGGUAGUAACACGUGGGUAUCUACCCUUGAGUCAAGGAUAUUCCAUCGAAAGAUGGCGCAAUACUUGAUAGUCUCUACGGAGUAAAGAUUUAUCGCUCAAGGAGGAACCUGCGCAAUAUCAGCUUGUUGGUAAGGUAACGGCUUACCAAGGCUAUGACGUUUAGGGGAGCUGAGAGGCUGACCCCCACCGAUGGAACUGAGACACGGUCCAUACUCCUACGGGAGGCCGCAGUCGAGAAUCUUCCGCAAUGGACGAAAGUCUGACGGAGCGACGCCGCGUGGUGGAUGAAGUCCUUAGGGACGUAAACACCUUUUAUAGGGGAUGAAAUUUUGACAGUACCCUAGGAAUAAGGGGCUCCUAACUCUGUGCCAGCAGGAGCGGUAAUACAGAGGCCUCAAGCGUUACCCGGAAUCACUGGGCGUAAAGGAUGCGUAGGUGGUUAUGUUAGUCAUGCGUGAAAUCCUUCGGCUCAACCGAAGGAAUGCCGCAUGAUACGGCAUAACUAGAGGACGUAAGAGGUAUGCGGAACUCACGGUGUAGGGGU
rnacentral:rRNA from 1 species